AUGAACUGCCUGAACAGGCUCCCAGCAGGGGCACCAGCGUCAGCACCAAGUGUAGGGUGCAAACGUGGAGGCAGAGCUUGGAAGCCACGACUGGCUAAGCUGCUGUCUCGGCACACUGCCAGCAAGCCUGGGGAACGGAGCAGCACAGAGGACAGUGAACCAAAUUUAGAGGCAGAAGCACUGGAAGCGCACAAGUGGAAACAAGGUUGGAAAAUGUGGGCUAGGAGAUACUCACACAAACAUUCAUGCUACAGUGAGAAAGGCCUACACUACAGUCUGAGGACAGACCACAGCAAAGGGUGAGAGGUGCAAACAUGGAACCAGCCUGCACCAGUUACUUUAAUCCAUUUGUACUGUGCAUAUGUAGAGGAAUGAAGAAAACAAACCAAACAAACAAACAAACAAACACCACCCUGGCAUCAGUAUAUCUUUAGCAGCAGAAUAUGACUGGCUGAGUAAGCUGUGGAACACCAGAUAAUUGCCCAGGGAUUCCUCCUCCCAGAAGGAUUCCUCUCUCUAGUCAUGAGAAUAAAGCUCAAAGCACAGUGUAAACA
rnacentral:lncRNA from 1 species